rnacentral:lncRNA from 1 species
AUGGCGGGAGGCGAGCUAUUGGUCGUUGUGGCAUGGGUGAUGUCGUCACUGGUAGUCAUAGUACAAUGCUUGGGGCAAACAGAUGCUAGAUUUUGGAAUAAAAACAGGCCAGAUCGGGAUGAAUUCCCGUCCACACCUGAAGAAAUAGAACUGCGAUUACUAGAGGACAAAAUAAUACCAGACGUGGUCCAUAAAGCUCCAAAAGACUAUUUAAAGGUUAGAUCGAGAUGCUUCGCUAGAGAUCCCACCGAUAGCUCCAGAGUGGCAACACUGGAUGUUGUAAAUAUUCAUGGGAGUAAAUGGAAGGAGGGGGAUGUGCGAACUGCCUACAUGGGUGCAUUCAUUCCAAAUUGGCUGACUUACGAUACAGGUCCGCAUCGAUUUGUUUUCACUCUGUGGAGGCAAAAGAACGUUUAA